GAUGAACGCUGGCGGCGUGCCUAAUACAUGCAAGUCGAGCGAUCGGCCGGGGGGCUUGCUCCCCGGUACGGAGCGGCGAACGGGUGAGUAACACGUGACCAACCUGCCCCAGAGACGGGGAUAACGUCGGGAAACCGGCGCUAAUACCCGAUGAUCCUGCCGGGGGGCAUCCCCCGGCAGGCAAAUGCUCCGGCGCUCUGGGAGGGGGUCGCGGCCUAUCAGCUUGUUGGCGGGGUAACGGCCCACCAAGGCGAUGACGGGUAGCUGGCGUGAGAGC
rnacentral:rRNA from 1 species